rnacentral:lncRNA from 1 species
UUCUGUAAAUUUUUCACAUAAUUCAAAAUUAUUCUCUGUAGUGAAUUCCUUCAAGCAAGAAUACCUUAAUGUAAACGAUCACUCUGGUAUUAUGGCAGUCACCUUAUCACCCCCGCAUCUACAUCUGAAACCAGGAAGACGUAGUUAACUCUUCUCACAGUCAAGAUUGGACAGUGAUCUUUCCUCAGAAUUUUGACAGAGCCCUGCUGCAGCCUUCCCAAUACAGACUUCGACUGAACUUAUUUUGCACCUGGGGUGAUUGCCCCAGCCCUGCCACCAGCAGGCUCAGUG